rnacentral:rRNA from 1 species
AGGGCACCACCAGGAGUGGAGCCUGCGGCUUAAUUUGACUCAGCACGGGGAAACUUACCCGGCCUGGACACUGGAAGGAUUGACAGAUUGAGAGCUCUUUCUUGAUUCAGUGGGUGGUGGUGCAUGGCCGUUCUUAGUUGGUGGAGCGAUUUGUCUGGUUAAUUCCGAUAACGAACGAGACUCUAGCCUAUUAAAUAGGCUCUCGGCUUUUAAACGCCGGGAGGACUUCUUAGAGGGACAGGUGGCGGUUCAGCCGCACGAAAGAGAGCAAUAACAGGUCUGUGAUGCCCUUUGUUGUCCGGGGCCGCACGCGCGCUACACUGAAGAGAUCAGCGUGCUUUACGUUCCUGCUCCGACCGGAGUGGGGAACCCAGUGAACCUUCUUCUUGAUUGGGGGAAAAGAAUAUUGUUAUUCUUCUUUUUGAAAGAAUUUUCCCAAAUAAUGCGUCAUCAGCUCGCGUUUUUACGCCUCCCUGCCCUUUGUACACACCGCCUCGUCUACUACUACCGAUUGAAUUU